GACGAACGCUGGCGGCGUGCUUAACACAUGCAAGUCGAACGGAAAGGCCCUGCUUUUGUGGGGUUCUCGAGUGGCGGACGGGUGAGUAACACGGGAGUAACCUGCCCUUGACUUUCGGAUAACUUCAGGAAACUGGGGCUAAUACCGGAUAGGAGCUCCUGUUCCAUGGUGGGGGGUGGAAAGUUUCGGCGUUUGGGGAUGGACUCGCGGCUUAUCGGCUUGUUGGUGGGGUAGUGGCUUACCAAGGCUUUGACGGGUAGCCGGCCUGAGAGGGUGACCGGCGACAUUGGGACUGCGGGAGGGAGCAGACGCCUAGGGGAGGCAGCAGUGGGGAGUAUUGCACAGUGGGCGGGAGCCUGAUGAGACAGCGCCGCGUGCGGGAUGACGGUCUUCGGGUUGUGAAAAGCUUUCGGCUGUGACGAAGCGGGAGUGACGGUAAUGGGUAAAGAAGCACCGGCUAACUACGUG
rnacentral:rRNA from 1 species